rnacentral:rRNA from 1 species
GACGUAGGGCGCGAGCGUUGUCCGGAUUUAUUGGGCGUAAAGAGCGUGUAGGCGGCCAUGCAGGUCCGUUGUGAAAACUCGAGGCUCAACCUCGAGACGUCGAUGGAAACCGCAUGGCUAGAGUCCGGAAGAGGAGAGUGGAAUUCCUGGUGUAGCGGUGAAAUGCGCAGAUAUCAGGAAGAACACCCGUGGCGAAGGCGGCUCUCUGGGACGGUACUGACGCUGAGACGCGAAAGCGUGGGGAGCGAACAGG